AGUGGCGAAAGGGGCAGUUAUACAUGGGCAACCUACCCUCAGGUCCGGGAUAGUUUCGGGAAACCGUUAGUAAUACCGGGCGACGUGAUCUGAUCACCUGAUCGGAUCACCAAAGGUCCGCCGCCUGGGGAGGGGCUCAUGCGAUAUUAGCUUGUUGGUGAGGUAACGGCUCACCAAGGCGAAGAUGUCUAGCAGGUGUGAGAGCACGACCUGCGCCACUGGCACUGAGACACUGGCCAGACUCCUACGGGAGGCUGCAGCCGAGAAUCUUCGGCAAUGGACGCAAGUCUGACCGAGCGACGCCGCGUGCGCGAUGAAGGCCUUCGGGUUGUAAAGCGCUGUCAGGGGGGAACAAAACAAUGAGUGAUCCCCAGAGGAAGCACGGGCUAAGUUCGUGCCAGCAGCCGCGGUAAGACGAACCGUGCAAACGUUAAUCGGAAUCACUGGGCUUAAAGGGCGCGUAGGCGGGCUACCAAGUCGGGGGUGAAAGUUUGCAGCUUAACUGUAAAAGUGCCUUCGAUACUGGCAGUCUAGAGGGAGGUAGGGGCAGAUGGAACUUCCGGUGGAGCGGUGAAAUGUGUUGAUAUCGGAAGGAACGCCGGUGGCGAAAGCGAUCUGCUGGAUCUCUACUGACGCUGAGGCGCGAAAGCUAGGGUAGCGAACGGGAUUAGAUACCCCGGUAGUCCUAGCCCUAAACGAUGGGUACUGAGUAGU
rnacentral:rRNA from 1 species